rnacentral:rRNA from 1 species
UGGCGAGUGGCGAACGGGUGAGUAAUACAUCGGAACGUACCGAGUAAUGGGGGAUAACUGUCCGAAAGGAUGGCUAAUACCGCAUACGAUCUACGGAUGAAAGUGGGGGACCUUCGGGCCUCACGUUAUUCGAGCGGCCGAUGUCUGAUUAGCUAGUUGGUGGGGUAAAGGCCUACCAAGGCGACGAUCAGUAGCGGGUCUGAGAGGAUGAUCCGCCACACUGGGACUGAGACACGGCCCAG